GGCCGGUGAUGUGAUUACAAAUAUUUGCUACUCUUGAGUGAGUUUUGUUUCAAAACCCCCCCUGAUGAUUCCUAUCCACCAAGAUCUCUGAGGCC